AAGGACAAGGAGGAAGAGGAGGAAGGGGAGGAAGAGGAAUCAACAGAGGAGGAAUCAACGGAAGAGGAAGAGAUGGAGGCCAUGCUGGAGGUAGAGGAAGACAAAGAGGAAGACAAGAACGUGCUCAAAGAGGACCGAAUCUGAUAAAUGAGAUCCGCGCAACACUGGUUGACCACGUUGUCAACCACGGCCUGACGCUGAGGGAGGCUGGACUGAUUGAGGGUCAGGAACGACGAGGGGGAAGGCCUCCUAUGUUCACAGAACAGCAAGAGAGGAAGAUAGUAAACAUGGUUUUGGCCAACAAUGCUAUAACCCUCAAUCAGCUCCAAGCUAACAUUGUCAAUAACCACGUCGGUUUCAACAAUAUCCAUCAGGUCUCAACAUCAACACUGGCACGCAUCCUAAUAAAAAACAUAUUCAAAUGAAGAAAAUUUAUUGAGUGCCUUUCGAGCGCAAUUCCGAAAGGGUGAAACGACUGCGGCAUGAUUAUGCAGAGAGAGUUUUACAAAUGGAUGGAGAGGAGAUCCAGCAUGAGUUCAUUUACGUAGAUGAGGCUGGGUUCAACCUGACGAGAACACGAAGGAGGGGAAGAAACAUCAUUGGCCACAGGGCUACAGUCAAUGUCCCAGGGCAACGUGGGGGUAAUAUAACACUCUGUGCAGCCAUUACACAGAAUGGGGUCCUCCACCGCCAUGCUCAUAUGGCCCUUACAACACAGCACUCAUACUUACAUUCUUGGACCAAUUGCACAACAUAACAGCAGCAAAUCAAAUCGAUCAUAUGCAAUACAUUGUUGUCUGGGACAAUGUCUCUUUCCACCGCUCUGCUCUGGUUCAGAACUGGUUUCAGCAACAUCUGCAUUUCACCGUCCUAUAUCUUCCACCAUACUCUCCAUUUCUCAACCCUAUAGAAGAGUUUUUCUCGGCAUGGCGGUGGAAGGUAUAUGAUCUCCGUCUCCAGGCUGAGGUACCCCUCAUCCAUGCCAUGAAGGAGGCCUGUGACCAGAUGGAGGUAGCAGCAAUGCAAGGAUGGAUUCGUCAUUCAAGACGUUUCUUUCCAAGGUGUCUUGCUAAUGACAACAUUGCCUGCGAUGUUGAUGAAAUUCUCUGGCCAGAUCCAGCUAGGCGAAGAGAAAAUGUCUAGUUUUUGUUUUGUUUUGUUUUGUUUUUUACAGUACAAUACGUAAAGUGACAUUUUGUUACAGUAUUAUGAAUCUCCAUGUCAACAUUUUGGGCGUGUUGAGAAAUAAACGAGUUUCUUCAGUCUGCAACAUUGGUCUUGUGUAGUGUUUGGUGAAUUUAUAUUAUAUUUGUACUUUGUUAAUGGUAGCCAACUCUAAUCAUAGGGAAGUAGAAGUGCUAAAAGUGUUUUAGGUUUAUCACAGCAGAGUGUAACUCAUGCAAACAGAGUAUAGUAAUGUGAAACGUGUGUUUCAUAUGGUAACAAAGUGUGGUUUUUAAACAGAAGUGUAUAGUUUUUACAAGAGUGUUUAAUUAUGCAAAGGAGUGUUUUGCUAAUUGGGUGUGUGGUUGUGCUAAUUGUGUGUAGUGUUUUGAAAACACGGGCCCUGUUUUGACAAUCGUGCUUAAGCAAACCAAAAAAACUGUAAUAACAUAGAAAUGUGUUAUUUUUUAUUCAGGCACAUUGAACAACCCCGGCUA